CUGUCUGCUCUUUCUUAUUAUUAAAUUUAUUUAAGGAGUGAAAAUCCUCCUGAAUCAAUAAUCAGACGAGAAGACCCUUAGAGUUAUAAUUAAAGGCAAAAGUUUUUUUUGCCAAAAAUUUUUGUUGGGGCAACAGAGUAGCAAUAAAAACUACUUUAGAAUUUUAGAACACUUCGAAUAUAUUAAUUAAGAAUUAACUACCUAAGGGAUAACAGCAUAAUUUUAUUUAUAAGUUUGUGACCUCGAUGUUGGACUAG
rnacentral:rRNA from 1 species